GCGCCGCGUUUUUCGUUAGUGAGCUUCCAUGUAACCGAGUACUGCGAUACGCUCGAUACCACGCGCCACAAAUAUUGUGAAAGUGCUGCUUGUUGUACGUGAUUUGUAGAAGUGAGAGUACAUUUGCCGCGAACGAGUCGCGAAGAUUAAGAACAAUUUCUAAACUAUCGAAUUCGGGAAUUGUUUUUGAAUUCGUCACAGGAGUGGGUUCAAUGGAAGCGAGGUUCGUAACUUGCCGGAGUUUCCAGCAGAUCAAGCCGCCCGAAAAGACCCUAGCGCCGCAGCCGACGGUGAAGGGCCUACUGUCCAGAUUCGGGAGCCAGGCUCAAGCACUUUUCGCCCCCAAGAAGACACGUUUUGGAUCUUCGGUGGCCAUCCACAAACUCCGCGAGACCAAGUGGUUUAAGCACGAUGAACAGAACAUAUUAUGCGCUGUUCUGGAAUCAGGAUUCAUCCUCGAGGUGCGAGCUCAAGACCCUUUGCCGCCAGAUUCGACUCUCUCACCAGACUACCAUAUGUAUGCCGUCGCCAUGUGGAAGAAGGGUAAAGAAAAAACAAAGAACCCCGAACAGAUAGACGUCUACACGGUACAACAGAAAGGUGUGAGAAAACGUGUGAUAAAAACAACGUUAAGCGCAUUCUGGAAGCAAGACUCUGUUAUACGCAUCAACAACGUGGACGACAAACAGGAGACACCGAACAGCGAAAAAGAUAUCAGAUCUAAGUUGGAUAUGGCAACUAAGUCCAGAUUCGAGAGAAACUGGCAUAAUACCCUGCAUUUCGUCCAUUGGUGCCGUUACGGUGAGACGCCGCAAGAAGCUCGCAUGAGACAGAUCAGCUUAACGACGUCGAAAACACCUAUGAUUAUCAUCUUUUGAUGGUAACUCUUGAGGCGCUUUGGACCCUUACAGCUGACAACAAGAUACCGAUUAGCGAGUCUCUUAAAUGGGGCAACGUUGGGAUGAACAUGGGCGUGAUGCUCGUCAGCCAACACAACAAAAGGGACAAGGCAAAGUCAGUUUGAGAAAAGCAUUCCAG
rnacentral:misc_RNA from 1 species